rnacentral:lncRNA from 1 species
GGCACUGCAUCACAGGGAGCCUGGUUAUUGGACAGAUGGAACUCCAGCUCUGGGAUUUAACCUUAGUUAAGUAAGAGGAUAUGAUGAAGUUGGCCAUCUUUCCAGGUACAUCUCACCAAGGGAGCAGCUCAUAGGUUCUCUCUUCUGUCUGUGGAUUCAGGAAAUCUUACAUCAUGGGAAAAAGAAAUGGAGCCCGGAGCCUACCUUGGAUGCAUCCAGGGUCAGAGGGCCAGGUUUGAUGGAUUCCUGCGAAAUUCUCCAUGCACCAUGCGCAACAUGCAUAGAAGAGUAUACUAGUAGAUGAGAAUGAAAAAAAAAAUGUGUACCAGAAAACAAA